UAUUUUUUCCCGUCUCUCUCUCUCAACCCUAAAAUUCCAAGACACCUAAAACCUUCUCAAUAGCUCUUUUUUCGGCACAAAUUUGUUAAUCCUUGGGCAUUAGCUACUUCAAGGGUUAUGGCACCAAGUAAGCAAUGGAUGCAGCAUGUUGAUAGCCGACUUGAUGAAGCUUAUUCAAUCGGGGUUCAUCAAUUCUUCUAUUGAUGAGAUGCAGAGAGUUCCAAAUAAAUGACUCAGAGGAUUGCCUCCGAAAAAUGUUUGUCACUGCCUCUUUUAUAUUGACGGUUUGUUUUUCAAGUAUAUAUAAUUACAUUUGACGAAUUUGGGC